CUGCAGCUCAAGUGGUGACCGCUAUUAUUGGGCCUAAAACGUUCGUAGCCGGUUUGGUAAAUGUUUGGGUAAAUCGUGUAGCUUAACUAUACGAAUUCCGGAUAGACUGCCAAGCUUGAGACCGGGAGAAGCUAGAGGUACUCCUGGGGUAGAGGUGAAAUUCUGUAAUCCUAGGGGGACCACCAGUGGCGAAGGCGUCUAGCUAGAACGGGUCUGACGGUGAGGAACGAAGCCCUGGGGCGCAAACCGGAUUAGAUACCCGAGUAGUCC
rnacentral:rRNA from 1 species